ensembl:lncRNA
CACGUGUCCUUAACCAUAACAACGAUGGCGGGUGUGUUGAGACUGCACGAGAAUGACUUUAUUUUGGUCUGUAACGAGCUUGCUCUCUUUUCUAAAACUUAUCUCUGGGCGGUGAACAGAAGACCGCGCGCUCCCGUUAAGCCUUUCGUGCCCCGGGGAAGCCAUACUUGAAGUCUGAAUGAGACGUUACAAAAGAGAAACAGCAGGCAGUAUAAACCCAGGUGGACAACUUUGAGGACGUUUGGCAGCACAAUAUGAAGAUUGCUGUUGUUCGUGCUUCCUACGCUGAAGAUCCUGUAGAUGUCUCUCUUAUUCUUGACGGCAAGGAGGUUGUGACUGGAUGUGGAAAUACUGCAAAGUUCCAACUCCUGAGAUUACCAUGACCUGGGUGAGUGAGGAUCUACAGAGAGCACAACUGACUUCAUGGAGGCUCACACAGAUAUCAAAACCUAAACAGGAAGUGAAAUUGAGUUUGUUGCUUCCAGAUAAGACAACAAAUGAAGUGGAAACAGCUGAUCAGUCACGAGACCUUGACUUUGAACUUCCUCAUCAGCCUGUUUUCAAGGAAGAAACUCGACUCUGUCUGAAGAGUAACAUGAC